rnacentral:rRNA from 1 species
GACGAACGCUGGCGGCGUGCUUAACACAUGCAAGUCGAACGGAAAGGCCCUGCUUUUGUGGGGUGCUCGAGUGGCGAACGGGUGAGUAACACGUGAGUAACCUGCCCUUGACUUUGGGAUAACUUCAGGAAACUGGGGCUAAUACCGGAUAGGAGCUCCUGCUGCAUGGUGGGGGUUGGAAAGUUUCGGCGGUUGGGGAUGGACUCGCGGCUUCUCAGCUUGUUGGUGGGGUAGUGGCUUACCAAGGCUUUGACGGGUAGCCGGCCUGAGAGGGUGACCGGCAACAUUGGGACUGAGAUACGGCCCAGACUCCUACGGGAGGCAGCAGUGGGGAAUAUUGCACAAUGGGCGGAAGCCUGAUGCAGCAACGCCGCGUGCGGGAUGACGGCCUUCGGGUUGUAAACCGCUUUCGCCUGUGACGAAGCGUGAGUGACGGUAAUAGGUAAAGAAGCACCGGCUAACUACGUG